GUUCUCGACCUGAGAUCAGACGAGACUACCCGCUGAACUUAAGCAUAUCACUAAGCGG
rnacentral:rRNA from 1 species